rnacentral:rRNA from 1 species
GACGAACGCUGGCGGCGUGCUUAACACAUGCAAGUCGAACGCUCCUGUCCUCUGGGUUUCUGGGGGGCGGGUGAGUGGCGAAUGGGUGAGUAACACGUGAGUAACCUGCCCCCUUCUUCGGGAUAACGGUCUGAAAGGGCUGCUAAUACCGGGUAUUCACUGGUCUUCGCAUGGGGACUGGUGGAACGGUUUUUUUCUGGUGGGGGAUGGGCUCGCGGCCUAUCAGCUUGUUGGUGGGGUGAUGGACCAACAAGGCUUUGACGGGUAGCCGGCCUGAGACGGUCACCGGUCACAUUGGGACUGAAAUGCGGCCCAGACUCCUACGGGAGGCAGCAGUGGAGAAUAGUGCACGAUGGGCACAAGCCUGAUGCAGCGACGCCGCGAGAGAGAUGGUGGCCUUCGGGUUGUGAACCUCUUUCGCCCGUAGUCAAGCCGCGACGUGGGUCGUGGUGAGGGUAGUGGGUAAAGAAGCGCCGGCUAACUACGUG